rnacentral:tRNA from 1 species
GUCGGGAUAGCUCAGUUGGUAGGCA